rnacentral:rRNA from 1 species
GAGCCCGUUAAUGGGUGAGAGCGUGCCUUUUGUAGAAUGAACCGGCGAGUUACGUUAUGAUGCGAGGUUAAGUUGAAGAGACGGAGCCGUAGGGAAACCGAGUCUGAAUAGGGCGACUUAGUAUCAUGAUGUAGACCCGAAACCUAGUGACCUAUCCAUGAGCAGGGUGAAGGUGUGGUAAGACGCACUGGAGGCCCGAACCAGGACACGUUGAAAAGUGUUUGGAUGACUUGUGGAUAGCGGAGAAAUUCCAAACGAACUGGGAGAUAGCUGGUUCUCUCCGAAAUAGCUUUAGGGCUAGCGUCGAAAUGUAAGUGUAUUGGAGGUAGAGCACUGUUUGGGUGAGGGGUCCGUCUAGGAUUACCAAUCUCAGAUAAACUCCGAAUGCUAAUACACAUGUUCGGCAGUCAGACUGCGAGUGCUAAGAUCCGUAGUCGAAAGGGAAACAGCCCAGACCAACAGCUAAGGUCCCAAAAUAUAUGUUAAGUGGAAAAGGAUGUGGGGUUGCACAGACAACUAGGAUGUUAGCUCAGAAGCAGCUAUCAUUCAAAGAGUGCGUAAUAGCUCACUAGUCGAGUGACCCUGCGCCGAAAAUGUACCGGGGCUAAACAUAUUACCGAAGCUUUGGAUUGAUAUUUUAUCAAUGGUAGGAGAGCGUUCUUAACCGCGAUGAAGGUAUACCGUGAGGAGUGCUGGAGCGUUAAGAAGUGAGAAUGCCGGUAUGAGUAGCGCAAGAUAAGUGAGAAUCUUAUCCACCGUAAGACUAAGGUUUCCAGGGGAAGGCUCGUCCGCCCUGGGUUAGUCGGGACCUAAGGCGAGGCCGAAAGGCGUAGUCGAUGGACAACUGGUUGAUAUUCCAGUACUAGAUAUGAUCGUGAUGGAGGGACGCAGUAGGCUAAGAGAUGCCAGUUAAUGGAUUCUGGUCUAAGCAGUGAGGUGUGAGAUGUGUCAAAUGCAUUUCUCUCUAACAUUGAGCUGUGAUGGGGAAGCAACUACGGUUGCGAACUCUCUGAUGUCACACUGCCAAGAAAAGCUUCUAGCGUAAAGUCAUAUCUACCCGUACCGCAAACCGACACAGGUAGUCGAGGCGAGUAGCCUCAGGUGAUCGAGAGAACUCUCGUUAAGGAACUCGGCAAAAUAGCCCCGUAACUUCGGGAGAAGGGGUGCUGGUGUAAAAGCCAGCCGCAGUGAAUAGGCCCAAGCAACUGUUUAUCAAAAACACAGCUCUCUGCUAAACCGCAAGGUGAUGUAUAGGGGGUGACGCCUGCCCGGUGCUGGAAGGUUAAGAGGAGUGCUUAGACGUAAGUCGAAGGUAUGAAUUGAAGCCCCAGUAAACGGCGGCCGUAACUAUAACGGUCCUAAGGUAGCGAAAUUCCUUGUCGGGUAAGUUCCGACCCGCACGAAAGGCGUAAUGAUUUGGGCACUGUCUCAACGAGAGACUCGGUGAAAUUUUAGUACCUGUGAAGAUGCAGGUUACCCGCGACAGGACGGAAAGACCCCAUGGAGCUUUACUGUAGUUUGAUAUUGAGUACCUGUAAGUCAUGUACAGGAUAGGUAGGAGCCAUUGAAAUAGGGACGCUAGUUUCUAUUGAGGCGUUGUUGGGAUACUACCCUUGACUUAUGGUUACUCUAACCCGCUGGCAUAAUCGGCCAGGGAGACAGUGUCUGACGGACAGUUUGACUGGGGCGGUCGCCUCCUAAAGAGUAACGGAGGCGCUCAAAGGUUGGCUCAGAUUGGUUGGAAAUCAAUCGUAGAGUGUAAAGGUAAAAGCCAGCUUGACUGCGAGAGCUACAACUCGAGCAGGUAGGAAACUAGGACUUAGUGAUCCGGUGGUACCGCAUGGAAGGGCCAUCGCUCAACGGAUAAAAGCUACCCUGGGGAUAACAGGCUUAUCUCCCCCAAGAGUUCACAUCGACGGGGAGGUUUGGCACCUCGAUGUCGGCUCGUCGCAUCCUGGGGCUGUAGUCGGUCCCAAGGGUUGGGCUGUUCGCCCAUUAAAGCGGCACGCGAGCUGGGUUCAGAACGUCGUGAGACAGUUCGGUCCCUAUCCGUCGCGGGCGUAGGUAAUUUGAGAGGAUCUGUCCUUAGUACGAGAGGACCGGGAUGGACUUACCGCUGGUGUACCAGUUGUUCCGCCAGGAGCACGGCUGGAUAGCUAUGUAGGGAAGGGAUAAGCGCUGAAAGCAUCUAAGUGCGAAGCCCACCUCAAGAUGAGAUUACCCAUUCGU